AGGCGAAACGGCGGUAACAAAACCGCCGUCGUCCCGGAGCUGGCCGUCCGGGACCUGAGGAUGCUAGGCCAAA
rnacentral:hammerhead_ribozyme from 1 species